AAUCAACGCUGGCGGCGUGCCUCAGACAUGCAAGUCGAACGAUUAAGACUUCCUUCGGGAAGUGCAUAAAGUGGCGCACGGGUGAGUAACACGUAAGUAAUCUACCCUCGAGUGGGGAAUAACGUUCGGAAACGAACGCUAAUACCGCAUAACGCAGCGGCACCGCAAGGUGACAGUUGUUGAAGGAGCAAUCCGCUUGAGGAGGAGCUUGCGGCAGAUUAGCUAGUUGGUAAGGUAAUGGCUUACCAAGGCUACGAUCUGUAUCCGGUCUAAGAGGACGGUCGGACACACUGACACUGAAUAACGGGUCAGACUCCUACGGGAGGCAGCAGUCGGGAAUUCUGGGCAAUGGGCGAAAGCCUGACCCAGCAACGCCGCGUGAAGGAUGAAGUAUUUCGGUAUGUAAACUUCGAAAGAAUGGGAAGAAUAAAUGACGGUACCAUUUAUAAGCUCCGGCUAACUACGUGCCAGCAGCCGCCGUAACAC
rnacentral:rRNA from 1 species